rnacentral:rRNA from 1 species
GAAAUUCCAAUCGAACUCGGAGAUAGCUGGUUCUCCCCGAAAUAGCUUUAGGGCUAGCCUCAUGUUAGAUAUCCGGAGGUAAAGCACUGAAUGGCCUAGCGUCCGAGAGGAUAGCGAAGCCUAUCAAACUAAGAAUGCCGGAAUAUUGAUGCAUGGGAGUCAGACAGUGUGAGAUAAAUCUCAUUGUCAAAAGGGAAACAGCCCAGAUCUACAGCUAAGGUCCCAAAUUGUAUCUAAGUGGAAAACGAUGUGGAAAUACGCAGACAACCAGGAUGUUGGCUCAGAAGCAGCCACUCAUUUAAAGAGUGCGUAAUAGCUCACUGGUCGAGCGUCUCUGCGCGGAAAAUUUAACGGGGCUAAGAUACAAACCGAAGCUUAGGCUGCAUACGUAAGUAUGCGGGGUAGGGGAGCGUUGUGUAAGCGGAGAAACAGUAGCGGAAGCGGCUGUGGAGUUUACAGAAGUGAGAAUGCCGGAAUGAGUAGCGCGAAUGAUGUGAGAAUCAUCAUGGCCGGAAACCUCAGGUUUUUGGAGGAAGGUUCGUCCGCUCCAAGUUAGGCGGGAGCUAAGGUGAGGCCGAAAGGCGUAGCCGAUGCACAGACGGUAGAGAUUCCGUCCCCACCGAAAGAUUUAAGCGCAGGGACACUUUUAGAAGGUCGGAGCCAGGUGUUGGUUCUGGUAGAGAUCGAGGGAAGAUUAGUACCGAAGUCCGGCUGGAUAAGAGGCGAGAAAAGCUGCGUGUAUAUCUAAGGUGCCCGUACCGCAAACCGACACAGGUAGGUAGGAAGAAGAUUCUAAGGCCAACGGGAGAAGGGUUGUUAAGGAACUCGGCAAGUUGACCCCGUAACUUCGGAAUAAGGGGUGCUCAUGAAAGUGAGCCGCAGAGAAUAGGCCCAGGCAACUGUUUACCAAAAACACAGGUUUGUGCUAAAUCGAAAGAUGACGUAUACGAGCUGACGCCUGCCCGGUGCUGGAAGGUUAAAAGGAGAUGUGCAAGCAUUGAAUUGAAGCCCCAGUGAACGGCGGCCGUAACUAUAACGGUCCUAAGGUAGCGAAAUUCCUUGUCAGGUAAGUUCUGACCCGCAUGAAAGGCGUAAUGAUCUGGGCACUGUCUCAACAGCCCGCCCGGCGAAAUUGUAGUACCGGUGAAGAUGCCGGUUACCCGCGACAAGACGGAAAGACCCCAUGGAGCUUUACUGUAGCCUAAUAUUGGGUUUCGGUGUUGCAUGCACAGGAUAGAUGGGACGCUGGGAAGUGAGUGCUUUGGCAUUCAUGGAGCGGCCGUUGGGAUACCAUCCUUGCGACAUUGGAAUUCUAACCUGCGCCUUUGAAUCAAGGCGGGGGACAUUGUUAGGUGGGCAGUUUGACUGGGGCGGUCGCCUCCUAAAGAGUAGCGGAGGCGUUCAAAGGUUGGCUCGUCCUGGACGGAAACCAGGAGAGAGAGUGCAAACGCAAAAGCCAGCCUGACUGCGAGACUGACGGGUCGAGCAGAGACGAAAGUCGGAGUUAGUGAUCCGGUGGUAUGUGAGUGGAAAUGCCAUCGCUCAACGGAUAAAAGCUACCCUGGGGAUAACAGGCUGAUCUCCCCCAAGAGUCCACAUCGACGGGGAGGUUUGGCACCUCGAUGUCGGCUCAUCGCAUCCUGGGGCUGUAUUCGGUCCCAAGGGUUGGGCUGUUCGCCCAUUAAAGCGGUACGCGAGCUGGGUUCAGAACGUCGUGAGACAGUUCGGUCCCUAUCUGUCGUGGGCGCAGGAUAUUUGAAAGGCGCUGUCCCUAGUACGAGAGGACCGGGAUGGACGAACCUCUGGUGCACCAGUUGUCACGCCAGUGGCACAGCUGGGCAGCUAUGUUCGGAUCGGAUAAACGCUGAAAGCAUCUAAGCGUGAAGCCGGCCUUAAGAUAAGAUAUCCCACUGAGACAAUCAGGUAAGACCCCUUGAAGACUACAAGGUUGAUAGGCACAAUGUGUAAGUGGCGUGAGUCAUUGAGCAAGCGUGUACUAAUAGGUCGAGGGCUUGACCCC